CUGCAGCCAAUUAAGCUGACCAUCCUCAUUCCAGGGGGGCCAGUGCACCAUGGCUGCAAACAGCAAGCCUCCUCGGUAGUGUAUGCCGCCUAUUGGCAUGUAGAGGCUGCUCUAAGGGGCCUUGCAGACAACC